rnacentral:lncRNA from 1 species
ACUUAAGAGGAUAAAAGACACCAACAAGCUUAGAUCAGCGACAAGCAAGAUUCUUUCUAACCUUUUUCCAGUUUCAUUAAAUCUUGUCAAGCUUUUCAGCCUUAACAACUGGAUUAGCCUUGGCAAUUGCAUUCCUAGCUGCCAUUCGGUAAUCGAAUGGGCAGUUAUGCUUGUCGGAAUAGCGGUGCAUAGCACAGAAGAGAUUCCCGCACCGGCAGUUAUAGCCCGUGAGGCCCACCUUCUUCCUACAUGUGUUACAUCUGUUAGCUCCCUGCUUCUCCUUUGCCUUUGCGUCACAACCCUCACUCGAUCCCACAUCACUAGAAGGCAGGGGCACAAUGGCCUUUUUCUCCACGAGAGUAUUAGUUUCAUUGGUACUGGAAGGUAUGACCGGCCCUUUGCCGCUGCCACUCCCAUUUACGAUGGUGUCGAUGGAGGAUGCCGGUAGCAUGGCCUGCUCCUGCUUCAUGAUCAUGUCCUUGUGGCACUUGGAGCACAUGUUCAUCGCGGCCGCGCUGCCAAAGAAGCCGCAG